rnacentral:rRNA from 1 species
UACGAAGGGGGCUAGCGUUGUUCGGAAUUACUGGGCGUAAAGCGCACGUAGGCGGACUUGUAAGUUGGGGGUGAAAUCCCGGGGCUCAACCCCGGAAUUGCCUUCAAGACUGCAAGUCUGGAGGUCAGGAGAGGCGAGCGGAAUUCCGAGUGUAGAGGUGAAAUUCGUGGAUAUUCGGAGGAGCACCAGUGGCGAAGGCGGCUCGCUGGACUGAUACUGCCGCUGAGGCGCGAAAGCAUGCGGAGCAAUCAGG